rnacentral:lncRNA from 1 species
UUUCUCUUUUUUGCUUAGUUUCAUACCCUCUAUGUCAUCCUUUUGUAUUUGAUGAUUCUAGUAUAAUGAAUGAUGUAAAGAGAGCUUAUGUCUAAAUGUAAAAGCUUAAGUUUUUGGAUGAAAACCUAUUAUGUAAUUUUGGGAGAUCAUGUGAUGUAAAAAGAAAUGAUGAAAAGAAUGUAAAUGUAACAUGUGGUUGAAUGCAUGUAUGUGAUUAAAAGAUAAUUAUUGUACUUGUAUGAAUGUUUAGUUUAGUACUUUCACUUUUGGCUAUUGCUUGCUCUCGUGCAAGCCAUAUAUAUCUUUGUUCUGCUGUAUAGAAUUCAUAUAUACAUGAUUUAUACUUAUAUAGA